rnacentral:rRNA from 1 species
AUUGAACGCUGGCGGCAGGCCUAACACAUGCAAGUCGAACGGUAACAGGGAUCAGCUUGCUGAUUCGCUGACGAGUGGCGGACGGGUGAGUAAUGUCUGGGACACUGCCUGAUGGAGGGGGAUAACUACUGGAAACGGUAGCUAAUACCGCAUAACGUCGCAAGACCAAAGAUGGGGAACUUCGGGCCUCCUGCCAUCGGCUGUGCCCAGAUGGGAUUCGCUAGUAGGUGGGGUAACGGGUAACCUAGGCGACGAUCCAUAGCUGGUCUGAGAGGAUGAACAGCCACACUGGAACUGAGACACGGUCCAGACUCCUACGGGAGGCAGCAGUGGGGAAUAUUGCACAAUGGGCGCAAGCCUGAUGCAGCCAUGCCGCGUGUAUGAAGAAGGCCUUCGGGUUGUAAAAUACUUUCAGCGGGGAGGAAGGGAGUAAAGUUAAUACGUUUGCUCAUUGACGUUACCCGCAGAAGAAGCACCGGCUAACUCCGUG